rnacentral:rRNA from 1 species
UAACGGCUCACCAAGGCUUCGACGGGUAGCUGGUCUGAGAGGACGAUCAGCCACACUGGGACUGAGACACGGCCCAGACUCCUACGGGAGGCAGCAGUGGGGAAUCUUGCACAAUGGGCGAAAGCCUGAUGCAGCAACGCCGCGUGAGGGACGAAGGCUUUCUGAGUUGUAAACCUCUUUCAGCAGGGACGAUUGUGACGGUACCUGCAGAAGAAGCCCCGGCCAACUACGUGCCAGCAGCCGCGGUAAUACGUAGGGGGCAAGCGUUGUCCGGAUUUAUUGGGCGUAAAGAGCUCGUAGGCGGCUUGGCAAGUCGGAUGUGAAACCUCCAGGCUCAACCUGGAGUCGCCAUUCGAUACUGCCAUGGCUAGAGUUUGGUAGGGGACCACGGAAUUCCUGGUGUAGCGGUGAAAUGCGCAGAUAUCAGGAGGAACACCAGCGGCGAAGGCGGUGGUCUGGGCCAAUACUGACGCUGAGGAGCGAAAGCGUGGGGAGCGAACAGGAUUAGAUACCCUGGUAGUCCACGCCGUAAACGUUGGGCACUAGGUGUGGGGACCUAUCGACGGUUUCUGUGCCGCAGCUAACGCAUUAAGUGCCCCGCCUGGGGAGUACGGCCGCAAGGCUAAAACUCAAAGGAAUGA